GAUGAACGCUGGCGGCGUGCCUAAUACAUGCAAGUCGAGCGAACGGACGAGAAGCUUGCUUUUCUGAUGUUAGCGGCGGACGGGUGAGUAACACGUGGAUAACCUACCUGUAAGACUGGGAUAACUUCGGGAAACCGGAGCUAAUACCGGAUAAUAUUUUGAACCGCAUGGUUCAAAAGUGAAAGACGGUCUUGCUGUCACUUAUAGAUGGAUCCGCGCUGCAUUAGCUAGUUGGUAAGGUAACGGCUUACCAAGGCAACGAUGCAUAGCCGACCUGAGAGGGUGAUCGGCCACACUGGAACUGAGACACGGUCCAGACUCCUACGGGAGGCAGCAGUAGGGAAUCUUCCGCAAUGGGCGAAAGCCUGACGGAGCAACGCCGCGUGAGUGAUGAAGAUCUUCGGAUCGUAAAACUCUGUUAUUAGGGAAGAACAUAUGUGUAAGUAACUGUGCACAUCUUGACGGUACCUAAUCAGAAAGCCACGGCUAACUACGUG
rnacentral:rRNA from 1 species